rnacentral:rRNA from 1 species
CCUACGGGAGGCAGCAGUGGGGAAUAUUGGUCAAUGGAGGCAACUCUGACCCAGCAACGCCGCGUGAGUGAUGAAGGUCUUCGGAUUGUAAAACUCUUUAAGUGGGGACGAAGAAAGUGACUGUACCCACAGAAUAAGCCUCUGCUAACUACGUGCCAGCAGCCGCGGUAAUACGUAGGCGGCAAGCGUUAUCCGGAAUGACUGGGCGUAAAGGGUGCGUAGGUGGUUUGACAAGUUAGUAGCGUAAUUCCGGGGCUCAACUUCGGAACUAUUACUAAAACUGUUGGGCUUGAGUGCAGGAGAGGUAAGUGGAAUUCCCGGUGUAGCGGUGGAAUGCGUAGAGAUCGGGAGGAACACCAGAGGCGAAGGCGACUUACUGGACUGUAACUGACGCUGAGGCUCGAAAGCGUGGGGAGCAAACAGGAUUAGAUACCCGAGUAGUC